GGUGAUUCGGUGCAGUCUCGGCAGUAGAAUGGUUGCAUGCUGCCGUGUUGUACGCUGACCGAAGUAUGAACAGAAACUUAUACUGUGGUUGCCAUACUCAUUACAGGCUAAUAAAAACUGCAUCAUCC